ACUGCACGGCUGCCGUGCAAGUCGUGGUCGUCCUUCGACCGGGCAGCAAGGAGCCCCGGCAUUUCGAUGGCCUCUUGUGUAGAUUUUUUUGUUCGCCAUGGAUUGCGACGUUUCCUUCCAUCCGUUUAGCUGGAAGCUCCGAUGGAAAGAAGAAUUCUUCGGCAGCAGUGAAGAAAUAAAUCGUCCCAGGUGCGGCCACUUGAGGACGCAUGCGAAUUUUUUUUUAUUGCGAAAAAAAUCGUCCAUGCGUACACGCUAUUAGCCGGUGUGUUGGAGUUUUUUUCUGCUUACUAACGGGGACGUGAGCUCAAGAACAUCCUGAUCGCUUCCAAAUGCGGUGGAAUUGUUGCGAAAUUGUUGCCCGUGGUUGCUGAUGGCCGCUUGAUGAAAACGAUAAUGGCCAGAGUGAUGAUAUUUAUGGGCUCUAAUCGCUGUCUCGUCAAAUCGAUUCAAAGAGGCACAAUGGCUAAACUAAUUGCCGGUUGGAGUGUUGAUAUUCUCUAACCGCAUGAACAUUUUUUAAACCUAAACCUCACAGAUAUAUGAGGCCAAUCGAACCAAACCCCCACAAAUCAAUCGGCAAACCAAUAAAUUGAUAGGUUAUUGUGGCAUUUUGAUUGACGGAUAGAAUAAUGGGGAUGCGGUUAGUUUUAAUAUGGCGCCCUGAGUAUAAGGUAAUUACGAUAAAUUAUGUACUUAUUGAUGUACGAACGAACACUUGCUUCUAAUCAGUAAGUCAUUUAUCUGCGCAGGAGUCUUUUUCAAUCCGAAUUCUAUGCAGUGUUUCGUGCAAAGUUAAAUUGAAAUCGUACGUUCAAUACACAUAAAAUUUUGUUUGGAUUUAAGUCCUGAUUGAAAAAGAUGGCAAUAGUGCAGUACAUACAAUCUAUAAAACUACCCUGCUAAGAUGUUUUCGAAAAUAAAACUCAACUAAACUAUUGGCUUUUGUUUUCCAAUAACUACCGAGCCUUAUAUGUGCCUCAGAAUUUAACAUUGUCACGUAUUAUCAAUGAAAGGAUCCAAUCCAUAUUCGGUUUAUUACCGUCUCAUUUGCGGCCCUUACACGAGACAAUACUAUUGUCAAUUCAAGGAGUAUUGACAAUACUUUUGAUCGUGUAGUGGAAACUUCAUUGGAUUGACGAAAAUAUUGUCAAAAAAUCAAAACUGUUCAUCAAUCCUACAAUAUUUUCUCUCCAGAGAGGAAACAGUUAAAUAUGUACAAUGACCUUUUCUCUCAUAUGUUUCAAUAUUCAGUUGCAAUAUUAAAGUUCCAAACCCUUGAUUUUUUCGAAAAACGCGGACUCAAGGUACCAAGCCAUUUGGAUUGACGAUAUUGACAAUACCUGGAUUGACAAUAAUAUUGUCACG